rnacentral:rRNA from 1 species
UACGUAGGGUGCGAGCGUUGUCCGGAAUUAUUGGGCGUAAAAGAGCUUGUAGGCGGUCUGUCGCGUCUGCUGUGAAAAUCCGGGGCUCAACCCCGGACUUGCAGUGGGUACGGGCAGACUAGAGUGUGGUAGGGGAGACUGGAAUUCCUGGUGUAGCGGUGAAAUGCGCAGAUAUCAGGAGGAACACCGAUGGCGAAGGCAGGUCUCUGGGCCACUACUGACGCU